rnacentral:lncRNA from 1 species
GAGGAGAUGGGUGAGGGAAAUGUGAUACAGGUAACGUAACGGCCAACUCUGCCUGGUUCGAGUUCUUAAUCUGAUAAAAAGUCACAGAAAGGCGAAAGCCCUUAUCUUUUUGCUUCUUCUUCUUGUCCUUUCAUUCUAGGUUAUCACGGACAAUACACCGAGUUUCAAGACUGCUGGGAAGAUGCUUGAAGAGAAGAGGAACCUUUUCUGGACCCCAUGUGCUACAUACUGCAUAGAUCAGAUGCUCGACGAGUUUUCGA